rnacentral:rRNA from 1 species
AAACGACUCUCGGCAACGGAUAUCUCGGCUCUCGCAUCGAUGAAGAACGUAGCGAAAUGCGAUACUUGGUGUGAAUUGCAGAAUCCCGUGAACCAUCGAGUUUUUGAACGCAAGUUGCGCCCGAAGCUUUUGGCUGAGGGCACGUCUGCCUGGGCG